rnacentral:tRNA from 1 species
GCAGGGGUGGCAGAGCUUGGCCAAAUGCGGCGGGCUUAGGACCCGUUACCUUUGUGGUUGCGAGAGUUCAAAUCUCUCCCCCUGCA